GACCCUGAACCAUGAAGAGUGGCGCCGUAUCAUGCUUUAUUUGUUGACCAACCUUUCUGAGGUGGAGCCGUACAUAGGCAUCCAACCCCUCGAUCAUAUUUCACACAGGCAAUUUCUUCGUCAAUUCUGGCGUCGCUCAAGGUCUCCGACCCAGAACGAAUCGGAGUCUCUUCUUAAAAAUGGCGCCGGAAAUUCUCAGCCCGAUUUCAUUUAUUGGUUGCAACAAAAGGUUAUUGAUUCGAAAUGCCAGGUGGGGGCAAGAUUGGUUUCCUGAGCGCCUUGUACAGGAGUAGUGGUGGAGAGCAAGAGGCUCCUGAGGGGUCCAGUGCAGCAGGGGG